rnacentral:rRNA from 1 species
GAUGAACGCUGGCGGCGUGCCUAAUACAUGCAAGUCGAGCGAACAGACGAGGAGCUUGCUCCUCUGACGUUAGCGGCGGACGGGUGAGUAACACGUGUAUAACCUGCCUAUAAGACUGGGAUAACUUCGGGAAACCGGAUCUAAUACCGGAUAAUAUAUUGAACCGCAUGGUUCAAUAGUGAAAGACGGUUUUGCUGUCACUUGUAGAUGGAUCCGCGCCGCAUUAGCUAGUUGGUAAGGUAACGGCUUACCAAGGCAACGAUGCGUAGCCGACCUGAGAGGGGGAUAGGCAAACCUGGAACUGAGCAACGGUCCAGACUCCAAGGGGAGGCAGCAGGAGGAAAUCUGCAGCAAUGGGCGAAAGCUUGACGGAGCAACGCGGCGGGAGUGAUGAAGGUCUUCGGAUCGUAAAACUCUGUUAUUAGGGAAGAACAAAUGUGUAAGUAACUAUGCACGUCUGGACGGUACCUAAUCAGAAAGCCCCGGUUACCUACGU